UUUAUAUAAAGCGCCAGAACCGCACUGAGUGAAUCGGUUGACGAGGAUGAGGAGUAUCGAAAAUUCGGCGGAUGCCUCACGGUGGAUAAGCACCAUCGACAAUUGGAUUUUAAAACCGCAGAGUAAUCUGCGAACAAAGAAU
rnacentral:ncRNA from 1 species